rnacentral:rRNA from 1 species
CCUACGGGAGGCAGCAGUGAGGAAUAUUGGUCAAUGGCCGGGAGGCUGAACCAGCCAAGUCGCGUGAGGGAAGACGGCCCUACGGGUUGUAAACCUCUUUUGUCAGGGAGCAAGGUGCAGGUCGGGACCUGCUGUGAGAGUACCUGAAGCAAAAGCAUCGGCUAACUCCGUGCCAGCAGCCGCGGUAAUACGGAGGAUGCGAGCGUUAUCCGGAUUUAUUGGGUUUAAAGGGUGCGCAGGCGGAGGCACAAGUCAGCGGUAAAAUCGCGGGGCUCAAACCCCCUCCGGCGUUGAAACUGUGUCCGUUGCGUGCGCGAAGGGUAGGCGGAAUGCGGGGUGUAGCGGUGAAAUGCAGAGAGAUAACGCAGAACUCCGAUCGCGAAGGCAGCCUACCGGCGCGCAACUGACGCUCAUGCACGAAAGCGUGGGUAUAGAACAGGAUUAGAGACCCUUGUAGUC